rnacentral:misc_RNA from 1 species
GAGGGCUUCCCCGGCUUCCCCGGGUAUCCGGGCAACAGGGGCGCUCCCGGGAUAAACGGCACGAAGGGCUACCCCGGCCUCAAGGGGGACGAGGGAGAAGCCGGGGACCCCGGAGACGAUAACAACGACAUUGCACCCCGAGGAGUCAAAGGAGCAAAGGGGUACCGGGGUCCCGAGGGCCCCCAGGGACCCCCAGGACACCAAGGACCGCCUGGGCCGGACGAAUGCGAGAUUUUGGACAUCAUCAUGAAAAUGUGCUCUUGCUGUGAAUGCAAGUGCGGCCCCAU